rnacentral:rRNA from 1 species
GAUGAACGCUGGCGGCGUGCCUAAUACAUGCAAGUCGAGCGAACGGACGAGAAGCUUGCUUCUCUGAUGUUAGCGGCGGACGGGUGAGUAACACGUGGAUAACCUACCUAUAAGACUGGGAUAACUUCGGGAAACCGGAGCUAAUACCGGAUGAUAUUUUGAACCGCAUGGUUCAAAAGUGAAAGACGGUCUUGCUGUCACUUAUAGAUGGAUCCGCGCUGCAUUAGCUAGUUGGUAAGGUAACGGCUUACCAAGGCAACGAUGCAUAGCCGACCUGAGAGGGUGAUCGGCCACACUGGAACUGAGACACGGACCAGACUCCUACGGGAGGCAGCAGUAGGGAAUCUUACGCAAUAGGCGAAAGCCUGACGGAGCAACGCCGCGUGAGUGAUGAAGGUCUUCGGAUCGUAAAACUCUGUUAUUAGGGAAGAACAUAUGUGUAAGUAACUGUGCACAUCUUGACGGUACCUAAUCAGAAAGCCACGGCUAACUACGUG